rnacentral:tRNA from 2 species
GCCUUCGUGGUGUAGUGGUCAGCACGCUCGACGCGAAUUCGAGAGGUCCGUGGUUCGAGUCCCGGCGAAGGCA